GAGCACGUAGGUGGGUUUGUAAGUCAGAUGUGAAAGCCUUCUGUUCAACGGAAGAAUUGCAUCUGAAACUGCGAGUCUUGAGCGUAGGAGGGGAGAAUGGAACUUCUGGUGGAGCGGUGUAAUGCGUAGAUAUCAGAAGGAACGCCGGCGGCGAAAGCGAUUCUCUGGCCUAUUACUGACACUCAGUGUGCGAAAGCUAGGGGAGCAAACGGGAUUAGAUACCCCGGUAGUCCUAGCCGUAAACGUUGGGCACUAAGUAGAGGGGUUUUA
rnacentral:rRNA from 1 species